rnacentral:rRNA from 1 species
CCCCAUAGGCCUGAGGUACUGGAAGGUCCUCAGGCCGAAAGGGGCUCUGCCCGCCCGAGGAUGGGCCGGCGGCCGAUUAGGUAGUUGGUGGGGUAACGGCCCACCAAGCCGAAGAUCGGUACGGGCCAUGAGAGUGGGAGCCCGGAGAUGGACACUGAGACACGGGUCCAGGCCCUACGGGGCGCAGCAGGCGCGAAACCUCCGCAAUGCGGGCAACCGCGACGGGGGGACCCCCAGUGCCGUGGCAACGCCACGGCUUUUCCGGAGUGUAAAAAGCUCCGGGAAUAAGGGCUGGGCAAGGCCGGUGGCAGCCGCCGCGGUAAUACCGGCGGCCCGAGUGGUGGCCGCUAUUAUUGGGCCUAAAGCGUCCGUAGCCGGGCCCGUAAGUCCCUGGCGAAAUCCCACGGCUCAACCGUGGGGCUUGCUGGGGAUACUGCGGGCCUUGGGACCGGGAGAGGCCGGGGGUACCCCUGGGGUAGGGGUGAAGUCCUAUAAUCCCAGGGGGACCGCCAGUGGCGAAGGCGCCCGGCUGGAACGGGUCCGACGGUGAGGGACGAAGGCCAGGGGAGCGAACCGGAUUAGAUACCCGGGUAGUCCUGGCUGUAAAGGAUGCGGGCUAGGUGUCGGGCGAGCUUCGAGCUCGC